UACGUAGGGUGCGAGCGUUAAUCGGAAUUACUGGGCGUAAAGCGUGCGCAGGCGGUUUUGUAAGCCAGAUGUGAAAUCCCCGGGCUUAACCUGGGAAUGGCAUUUGGGACUGCAAGGCUGGAGUGUGGCAGAGGAGACUGGAAUUCCUGGUGUAGCAGUGAAAUGCGUAGAUAUCAGGAGGAAUACCGAUGGCGAAGGCAGGUCUCUGGGCCGAAAUUGACGCUGAGGAGCGAAAGCGUGGGGAGCAAACAGG
rnacentral:rRNA from 1 species